GGGUUGUGAGGUUAAGCGACUAAGCGUACACGGUGGAUGCCCUGGCAGUCAGAGGCGAUGAAGGACGUGCUAAUCUGCGAUAAGCGUCGGUAAGGUGAUAUGAACCGUUAUAACCGGCGAUUUCCGAAUGGGGAAACCCAGUGUGAUUCGUCACACUAUCAUUACGUGAAUACAUAGCGUAAUGAAGCGAACCGGGGGAACUGAAACAUCUAAGUACCCCGAGGAAAAGAAAUCAACCGAGAUUCCCCCAGUAGCGGCGAGCGAACGGGGAG
rnacentral:rRNA from 1 species